rnacentral:rRNA from 1 species
AUUAGCUGAGAGGUGGUGCAUGGCCGUCGUCAGUUCGUACUGUGAAGCAUCCUGUUAAGUCAGGCAACGAGCGAGACCCACGUCCACAGUUGCCAGCAUACCCUCCCGGGGUGAUGGGUACACUGGUGGAGACCGCCGCUGCUAAAGCGGAGGAAGGAGUGGGCAACGGUAGGUCAGUAUGCCCCGAAUCUCCCGGGCUACACGCGGGCUACAAUGGUUGGUACAAUGGGCAUCUACCCCGAAAGGGGAAGGAAAUCCUACUUAAAGCCAAUCGUAGUUCGGAUUGAGGGCUGCAACUCGCCCUCAUGAAGCUGGAAUCCGUAGCAAUCGCGUUUCAACAGAACGCGGUGAAUACGUCCCUGCUCCUU